AAGUGGAAACAUGUCCACACGAAAGCCUGAGUGCAAAUGUUUGUAGAGGUUUUAUUCCUGGUUGUCCCAAGCUGAAAACAACCCAAAUAAACAAACUGGUGCGGCCAUCCGGUGGAACAACGGGCGCAGCCAUCCAGCGGAACCCCACUCAGCAGUAACAAGGAGAACUGAUCGUGGCAACGACGCGGACGAACCUCAAACGCAUUUUGCUGAAAGAAGCCAGAUCCAAAAGGGACGGAGCUGUCACAACCAGGAACCCCAAGUUAAAACACUCUCAGGAGAAAGCACCAAGUCAAAUCACUGGACAAGGUGCCUGCAGCAUAGUUUAAUGACCAGCACAAAAAUCUCAUGGGAGAGGAGUGGAGGAGCCUGUCAUUGGAGUACAUGGGGAAUAUCUCACAUGUGCUGGGCCCACACACCUCAUCUACGGAAUCCACAUACUAGCCUAGAGGAAGGCUUUGUGGCCCCUGACAGAUGAGGAAACUGAGGCACACAGAGAUCACGUGACUUGCCAAGGCCACAGAGCUGGUGGGGGCAAAGGUCUGGUCACCCCCUGUGGUCUGGCUCAAGAGUCCAGGCUCCUAGCCAUGGCCUCUCCUGCCUCUUGGUCCUGGAGCACCAAAGGAGAAAUCAGGCUUUACUUGUAGGUGGAAAUGAUUAGCUAGGAUGAGAGUUCCCUCAAACCUGCUCAUUGUCCUGGGCCAGGAAGUCAGGCUUCAGCCUCACCCUGCCUUUGACCAGAUUCUCAGUGUCCACCCUCACUAGUCUCUCCAGGCCAUGGAACAAGGGUCCUGAAAGGGUCAGAGCAUCUCUCUGUGAGGGGCAGUAAUGCACCCACUGUAAAGGAGUCCUAAGGACACCAAGCUCUCUGACCAAGGGGAUCAUGGGAGGCGAGAGAGGGUGCUUUAACAAGACACAUACUCGAAAUGCAGACUAUGGUCCCAUAACAUCAUUAGCUGAAGUCUUCCUGACUCAUUUCCAAGCAAUGCAUUUCACAGAAAGACACAAGCCCGUGGGGUGGUCUCCGGGCCUAAGCAUCGGCGGUGGCAGUUAUGGCAACUUAAGCAAAUGCUCAACAUAGGCUGCCUCGGAAUAUGUUCUGGCAACUGCUUCCCCUUCUCAAACCUGACCCCGAGGCCACGCACUUUCCCAGUCCUCUUAGCCUAGGAGGAGCCAGCGGCCUGGCCAGGCAGAGGAAGGAGUUGGGCGCCUGGCAUGCCCCCGAAGCCGUCUCCCUGCAGGAGGAGGGGCUCCCCUCCCGGCCUGCAUCAGCCUCAGGACUCAGGGGAGGUCCUUCCCCACCUGCAGCCAUGCUUGGGGGGCGCCAGCCUCACAGAACCCUGCGUUCUCUCCGUUCCAGAAGGAAAUGCUCAGGGAGCGACAUCUCACCCCAGGAUGGACAAGGUCACACACCUGGGUAACAUCUGGGUCAUGUCACUAAAACCGUCCCCCUCUCAGAAGCUUCUAGGGAUGGCUAGUGUGCUGGUGACAGUGCGAGGGGAUAACAGUGCAAGGAGGACUAGUGACGGUGAGAGGAGGACUAGUGACUGUGCGGGGACUACUAGUGAGCGACGGGAGGACUAGUGACAGUGACACCGUGGGGAGUAGUAGGAAUAGGAAUAAUUAUCGAGCACUUUAUAGAUGCACCUGCACUAACUUCAACGGGUUAAUAUAUUUAAACACCUUAUUCAUUUAAUCCUCAAAACCCCUUGAGGUAGGCAUUAUCUCCAUUUUCUAGUUGUCAAAUGGAGGCACAGGAAGGGUGACUGCAGAUGGUGAAUCAGUCUUUGUUGAAUGAGUAAGUGAACAAGUUGCCCAUCACCACAAAUGCGGAGACAGCAAUAGAGGAGCCAUUAGGGUGGCAGGAGAUUAAAACCUCAGACGCGGUCUUCACGGGAGCUGCUGGCCUUCUGUGGGCUCAAAAACCCGAGCUCUUGUCUGCGUUCUAGAAGCCCGCAUACCCGAGGACUCUCUGGCCUUGGCCCAGCAGUGGACAUGGGGCAAAGGCUGAGCGUUGGUGCAGUGCCACUGGCAGGGCUGGGCACAGCCACCCUCAAGCCCCACCUACCCUGGGGACCCAGGGCUGG